rnacentral:rRNA from 1 species
UACGGGGGGAGCAAGCGUUGUUCGGAUUUACUGGGCGUAAAGAGCUCGUAGGUGGUUUGUCGCGUUGUUCGUGAAAUGCCACAGCUUAACUGUGGGCGUGCGGGCGAUACGGGCAGACUGGAGUACUGCAGGGGAGACUGGAAUUCCUGGUGUAGCGGUGGAAUGCGCAGAUAUCAGGAGGAACACCGGUGGCGAAGGCGGGUCUCUGGGCAGUAACUGACGCUGAGGAGCGAAAGCGUGGGGAGCGAACAGG